rnacentral:rRNA from 1 species
UUNNNCCGCUCAGGACGAACGCUGGCGGCGUGCCUAAUACAUGCAAGUCGAGCGGACAGAUGGGAGCUUGCUCCCUGAUGUUAGCGGCGGACGGGUGAGUAACACGUGGGUAACCUGCCUGUAAGACUGGGAUAACUCCGGGAAACCGGGGCUAAUACCGGAUGGUUGUUUGAACCGCAUGGUUCAAACAUAAAAGGUGGCUUCGGCUACCACUUACAGAUGGACCCGCGGCGCAUUAGCUAGUUGGUGAGGUAACGGCUCACCAAGGCAACGAUGCGUAGCCGACCUGAGAGGGUGAUCGGCCACACUGGGACUGAGACACGGCCCAGACUCCUACGGGAGGCAGCAGUAGGGAAUCUUCCGCAAUGGACGAAAGUCUGACGGAGCAACGCCGCGUGAGUGAUGAAGGUUUUCGGAUCGUAAAGCUCUGUUGUUAGGGAAGAACAAGUACCGUUCGAAUAGGGCGGUACCUUGACGGUACCUAACCAGAAAGCCACGGCUAACUACGUGCCAGCAGCCGCGGUAAUACGUAGGUGGCAAGCGUUGUCCGGAAUUAUUGGGCGUAAAGGGCUCGCAGGCGGUUUCUUAAGUCUGAUGUGAAAGCCCCCGGCUCAACCGGGGAGGGUCAUUGGAAACUGGGGAACUUGAGUGCAGAAGAGGAGAGUGGAAUUCCACGUGUAGCGGUGAAAUGCGUAGAGAUGUGGAGGAACACCAGUGGCGAAGGCGACUCUCUGGUCUGUAACUGACGCUGAGGAGCGAAAGCGUGGGGAGCGAACAGGAUUAGAUACCCUGGUAGUCCACGCCGUAAACGAUGAGUGCUAAGUGUUAGGGGGUUUCCGCCCCUUAGUGCUGCAGCUAACGCAUUAAGCACUCCGCCUGGGGAGUACGGUCGCAAAGACUGAAACUCAAAGGAAUUGACGGGGGCC